CGACUUCUCAAACAUGUCACCUCUGUGCCAGCUUCCACACCGGAUGUGGCCUCAACCCGUGGUGGCCUGGGUUUCUAUAGGCUAAACUGCAUUCUCUCCCCUCUCCGUUUUUCUGUGAUCCCUUCCCCAUAUGCUGCCACCAGGCCUGGAACAUUCCUCAUCAGGGCACACAACCUGCUACGAGGAUGCUAUCUUCCCACAGAACCAGCAGCAGUGAUGGCAGGGACUGUGACAAGCACCUAGCAUGCUACCUGGCACAUAGCAGGUGCUCAACUAACAUUGGUCAAAUGAAUAAAUGGACAGAUGACAUCAAAAAGGCAUUUGCUGGAGCGGCUGGCUGGCUCAGUCAGUAGAGCAUCUAACUCUUGGUCUUGGGGUCAUGAGUUCGAGCCUCACGUUGGCGACAGUUUACUUAAAAAAAUAACAACAAAGGAGGCAUUUUUUAAAAAGGCAUUUGCUGAGUUUACACCAACAUGAACUAAAUUCCCGGUUUGACUCGUACAUUUUGUACAUUUGCUGCGGUUAAAACCAACAAUCUAUGCAGACAUCACGGUAUAGAUCCGGGCAAAGAGUAAUCACAGCAUGGGGAGGGAAACAAGCAUUUACUGCUCUUUUCGGGCAGAAUUUAAGUUUGAAGCAGGUAUCUAAGUAUGGCUUCGGAUCUCCCAGGAGGCAGGGACCUGAGUGCUCACUGGCUCUGGGAGAUAGCUCUCCGGGCCUCAGUUUCUCAUUCUGUAAAAUGAGGGAAUUGGAGUCAACGAUCUCUAAGUUCUUUUAAGUUAUGCCAUUCCGCAAUUCUAGGAAUUACACUCCGCGGUAAUAUGUGCUGAGUAUUUACUUCCUCUGUGCAAACUACUAUUUCAGAUCCACUGCUCCUCAGAAGAGCCCUGUGAGGCAGAUACUCUCGUUCUCUCCACCUGCAGACAUGGAAACCAAAGGGGGGAGGCUGAGUGAGAUCUACUAAGGUAACUGGCCUGGCCAACGGGAGCCCCAGGCCACCAGCUCCAGGACCUAGUCCUACUAUCCUCUACACACACCUUCUCUCCUAUCCCAAACCUGGCACACAGUUGAUACUUGAGGAAAUACUGCAAGUGAUGAUAAUGAUUAUCAUGAUGUUGGAGAAGGGGAGUCGAAUCCAAGGAGAUCUAGGGCCCAUCUGCACAUUUUUCAAAUCAGGGGACACAAGCAACAGAAAAAUGAGUCUGAGUGUGUCCCUUGGCAACACGAUCGGUCCAGGUGUCCUCAGUUUUUACCGUUUACCAUCAGGAGAUGCUCCCAGGAUUUUGUGAUGAGACUGUGCCAGGUUAGCCAAAGGUGGCUUGUGUCGCCCUGAGAGUUGGACCUGGCCUGACCCAGCAAGAUAAAAUACAGAGCCGUGGCUGGCCCAGCCCAGGCCUGAUGUCAGGGGAGGACAUUUAGGGAGGACAGCAACCCCAGGUAUCUGCUAGUACUCAGGACAUGUGACAAGGGACGGCUGUCCCCAAUUCUUGGACACAAAUGAGCAAGACAUGGUGAACAACCAGUCUCCUUUCCCCGCCAAGCCGCCUCCUGUGUAGGUAUCAGACUGAUGCCCUCAAUUCACUUCUAAACAACUGCCUCUUACCAGGGACCAGAACAGAUGUCCCUGGCUUCCAUUCCCGGACGCCACUAUGUGUCCUUAAGCUGGUUACUCAACCUCUGAGAGCUUCAUUUCCACAAACGUAAACCAAGGGCAAUUGGACCUCCCUCGAAAAGCUAUUGAACUAGUACUGCCAUCAGUCAACGUGAACCUCCUUUCUUUCCUCUCUCCACCCGCGUUCCGGGCUCCCUCCGGCCCCGUACACAGGUACCCUGGACCCCACCUGCAUCCUCUCCCAACAAGACGGGCUCCCACGCCUCUUGCCACUGCGGGCAGGGGGGUAAGAACCUGCCAAAUGCUACUCCAAGCCAACCCCAUACCACAAGCUUUCCCUGAAGAAGUUAGUCUUCCUUCCUCGCUCAGACUCAGCCUAGCAGAGGAAAAAGAUCAGGGACUGGCGGUGGAGAGCUGACUUUGGCCCCAUCUCUUAACCUCUCUUCUGUAAAGUGGGGAAAUCCUACUCCUACCACCCCCCUUAUAGCGUUGCCAAGAGGACCAAAUGAGUGAAUGAGCAGAGCGCUACUUUGCAGGUGAGUGAAAUGCUUUCUAAGCAAAACGGUGUGCAUGCAUAUCGCUCCUUUCCGGUAGCCUGGCCAAGGUGUAUAAAUACGCUUAAUACCGCUACAGGAUUUAUACUUUAUUCAUUCAACAGAAUAUUUCCACUGAGUAUCUACCAGCAGGCAUUGUCCAGGCCCUGGGGCUUACAGUCAGGGGAGGGAUAUUAAUCCCACAGCCAGGGCACAGGUGCCACAAGUACAGACAAUGGAGGAAAAGUGCAGGACGCUACAGAGUGUGUGACAGGGGGACCUCAUGUGGCAGGAAGGGAAGGCUUCCCUGAGGACAGGAUGUUCAACCUGAGUUGGCCAGGUCUCUCAAUGGGGACAGAGGGAGCAGGGAGAAGGAGAUCCCAGACAGAGGAACGACACGGAGGAGACUCGGACCGCUGGGGGAGGCCAGCGCAGUGCGUUUGGGAAAUGGCAGGGGCGGGGCGCCUGGGUGGCUCAGUCGGUUAAGCGGCCGACUUCAGCCAGGUCACGAUCUCGCGGUCCGUGAGUUCGAGCCCCGCGUCGGGCUCUGUGCUGACAGCUCGGAGCCUGGAGCCUGUUUCAGAUUCUGUGUCUCCCUCUCUCUGCCCCUCCCCCGUUCAUGCUCUGUCUCUCUCUGUCUCAAAAAUGAAUAAACGUUAAAAAAAUUAAAAAAAAAAAAAGAAA
ensembl:lncRNA